rnacentral:tRNA from 1 species
GUGGUGGCUCAGCGGUAGAGCACUUGCCUAGCACAGUCAAGGCCCUGGGUUUGAUCCUCAGCACCACA